rnacentral:rRNA from 1 species
UACGGAGGGUGCGAGCGUUGUCCGGAAUCAUUGGGCGUAAAGGGCGCGUAGGUGGCGGGACAAGCGUGCGGUGAAAGCCUGGGGCUCAACCCCGGGUCGGCCGUGCGAGCUGUUUUGCUUGAGCACUGUAGAGGCAGGCGGAAUUCCGGGUGUAGCGGUGGAAUGCGUAGAGAUCCGGAAGAACACCGGUGGCGAAGGCGGUGUGCUGGGCCGUAGCUGACGCUGAGGCGCGACAGCGUGGGGAGCAAACAGG